CAGCCGCCGCGGUAAUACGUAGGGUGCAAGCGUUAAUCGGAAUUACUGGGCGUAAAGCGUGCGCAGGCGGUUUUGCAAGUCAGAUGUGAAAUCCCCGGGCUCAACCUGGGAACUGCAUUUGAAACUACAAGGCUAGAGUGUGUCAGAGGGGGGUAGAAUUCCACGUGUAGCAGUGAAAUGCGUAGAGAUGUGGAGGAAUACCGAUGGCGAAGGCAGCCCCCUGGGAUAACACUGACGCUCAUGCACGAAAGCGUGGGGAGCAGACAGGAUUAGAUACCCCUGUAGUCCCUGUCUCUUAUAC
rnacentral:rRNA from 1 species